UGGGGGUGGGGGGAGGGAUUAUGAAAGGAGUUGUCCUCUCAGUUUUCCUUUUGACCGGGGUGAAGCACCCCUGUCCUAGGCUGUGCUCAGGACCCUCCUUGCUCAGGAUCCAGUCUUCUACUGCAGUUCAUGCCUCCUGUUUGUCUCUGUAAACCAUGCUAGAUGCCACAGGAGUUGCAAAGCUUCACAACCCAAGGACGCGCUUCCCAAAGCUGCAGUCAUCACAAAAGUCAGGACAGAGUUCCAGAAGGUGCUGCACAAGAACACAUGGCAAAGGCUGUCCAGUUCCCACCCAUCUGCCAUCAUAGCUACUCUGCAGUCGAGACUGCAGGAUCCGGAAGUUCAAGAACAGCUGUGGUGUUGUGAUGCUCACCAGAGGACAAAACAAAGACCUCAAGACAAGCAUUUCCUUCCAUUGUGAGUACACCCCUGGGAAUAGGUGGAAAUCAUGAGCAGUUGGAAGUAAAGAUGGACAAGGAACACGACCCAGAGGUCCUGAGUCAGAGACAUGCCUGGACUUGAUCUUACCCAUGGAGCUUUGUGGGAAUCAUAGGCGUUUCAUGCCUAUGAAUGGAUAAAGACUGGAUAAAGAGUGCUUGAAAGGAAUGGGGGAGAUGCUAAACAUGGAGGAGGAAAGAGCUGCUGUGAAGUGGUAAUGAUAGAGGCUUAAACAUCAGGUACAGAAAAGGUGUGGAGGGGCAAAGUCAGGACAGAAGAAGUGAGGCUGAGAAAGAGGAAGCAUCAGAGGCAGGUUUCCAGUUUCCAACUUUAAUGACUGUGGUGUUGGUGAGCUCCAAGCACAAAGAAAAAAACAACUGGAAAUGACCUGAGCCUUUAAACUCUCAAGGCUCACCUCUGGUGACUUACUUUUUCCAAUCUCCUCAAAUAGCACUACCAACCUGAGACUAAGCAUUCAAAUGUAUGAACCUGUGGGGGACAUUUUCGUUCAAACCACCAAAAGGACCUUAUGCUUUAGUGGAAGAGUUCACGUUAUGCCAUAAGUAACUGCAAGUAUCAGUGACUUGCAACGUACCAAAGAGAUAUUUGCACAUCCAUGUUUGUUGCUGACCUAGACACAAUAGUGGGGAAAUGGAAGCAGCCUACAUGGCUAUCAACGCAUGAAAGGAUAAUGAAAUGUGAUCUUUUGUGUAGCCAUAAAGAAAUGCAAUUAUGAAAUCUGCAGAAAAUGGAUUGGAUUGGACUGGAUUGGAAAUCAUUGUGUUAAGAAAAUUAAGCCAUACUCAUAUAUUUGAGUAUUAUUAUAUGCAGAAAUAUUUAAAUAUAUAAAACCAUAUUGUUUAGUAUUCUUUCAGAUAUUAUGGAUAUUGUGAGAAAAAGUUUUAAUGUCAAGAAAGCAAGUCCUGGUACCUAACACAGUGGUUUUCAAGGAACUACAUCAUUGGAAGUUGAUAGGGGACUAUGAAAGAGGAGGAAAGAAUCUUAAAGGAGUGGAGGGAGACACACAGUGUGAAAGCAAAGGAGAAACUAUUUGGAGAGAGGAGGAUACACAAUAGGGAGGACAUAGGGGGAAGAGAUGGAUAAGAACAAUUAUAUUGAUCCAUAUAUAUGAAAAUGCCAUAAUAAUUUUUUUCUGUAUACAACUUAAUUUAAAGGUGGUUCAGUGGUUAGUUAAGAGCCCCAGCUGCAAUACCAGAGAACCCAAGCCUGGUUCUCAGGAGCAAAAUCAGGUGACUCACAACUUCCUGUGAAGAAGGGGGACUGAGACAUUCAUGUGGGUUCUGUGCAAUGGCAUACAUUCCAACAGACACAUGUGGGUUCUGUACAAUGGCAUACAUUCAAACAAACAGACACAUGUGGGUUCUGUGCAAUGGCAUACAUUCCAACAGACACAUGUGGGUUCUGUGCAAUGGCAUACAUUCCAACAGACACAUGUGGGUUCCGUGCAAUGGCAUACAUUCAGACAAACAGACACAUGUGGGUUCUGUGCAAUGGCAUACAUUCAAACAGACACAUGUGGGUUCUGUGCAAUGGCAUACAUUCCAACAGACACAUGCUUGAGAAUACUUUUUAAUUAGUUAGAAAAAAAAAAGCCUUAGCAAACUUAGCAAAAAUGUUCUUCCUUUGCCCAAAGACCAUUAUAUUUCUCCAGGGCAACUGUCCUCCCCAUGUCUCACGAGUGCAGGAGCAUCACCAUCUCUACAUAAGACAGCUUUAGUAAUAAAGGAGAAAGAGGCACUGAAGAGCUUCCUAUAGGUUUGUCAAUAGUGCAGCUUGGAAAUGGCCCACAACACUGUCUCUCGAGACACAUUAUGACCUCAUCCAAUGACAGAGACUAGGAAAUCUGAAGUAGCCUGCAAAUGAUUUGGACAUUGUAUUAUUGAGCUACUGCUGUAGUCCAUGGCUACCUUCCCAGAAAAAUACUGUUGUGUUAACAAGGGCCCUCAAUUCCCUUGGUCUGUGUCAGGCCUUGUUGGGAAUCACUGCAUCGUGAACCACACACAGCGACUAUACUUUUCUCAUUUUUCUCCCUCCUUCCCCUCCAUCUCUCCCUUCUCCUUCUCUUUGUCUUUUCCUUCUCCUCUUCCUCAUUCAUCAUCAUCAUCAGAAUUAUCACCGUCGUCUUAGCUGAUCUACAACUACAACUAUCUCUAGCUCACAGCUUUAAGUCUUAUUAGUUGGAGAGCUAAUUAAAAUUUAUUAAACAAACCUCUAAUGUAGUGUUUCCUAGGAACUAUUCCAAGAAAAUUCAUUCUUUCAGAUAUUAAUAGGCAUUCUGAGAAAAAGCUUUAUUGUCAAGUAAAUAAAUCCUGGUACCUAACAUGGAUUUUUACCACAGUAUGUUUUAAACUAAUAUGCUAUUGGAAGGGCUUCCAAAAGGUACAUCUGGAAGAAGGGUGCUAAAGAGUCAUUGAUAUCCCCUAGUCCCUUGUGUACUCUUGACAAGUAAUAACAUGUCUGAUUGAUCCGACUGAUGGUCCUCUUGUCCUGUGUCCAUAUUCUGUCUCCAACCUUACCAAACACACACACCCCUCUGUCUACUCUGAUGUUGGUACACUGCUCAUCAUACAGAAGUCUCUGUCUAACAAAGGGAACAUUGUGAACAUCAUUACAGAACUGGAUGCAAGGGUCUGGGGACUAAAGCCUCAGCAAGUCAGGCACUUUCUAACUCUUGAAUUUUAAUGGAACUGAAGGACAUCCUAAUGGAGUUGUUAAGGGAUAAACCAUUAAAAUAUUUUCAUGAUAAA